GUUUUGCGUUAGGGAUUGUCGUGGAAAGCCCACAGUGCGAUAGCACGCGGACUUGCAACAAAAGCCCGACCCCAC
rnacentral:misc_RNA from 1 species